ACUCCACGAAGUUGGAUUCGCUAGUAAUCGCGCAUCAGCCAUGGCGCGGUGAAUACGUUCCCGGGCCUUGUACACACCGCCCGUCAAGCCAUGGGAGCCGGGGGCGCCUGAAGUCCGGGACCGCGAGGACCGGCCUAGGGCGAAACUGGUAACUGGGGCGUAAGUCGUAACAAGGUAUC
rnacentral:rRNA from 1 species